ACGGAGGGUGCAAGCGUUAUUCGGAAUUACUGGGCGUAAAGGGCGUGCAGGCGGGAGAGCAAGUCUGAUGUGAAAGCCCGGGGCUUAACCCCGGAAGGGCAUUGGAAACUGCUUUUCUUGAAUUCUGGAGAGGAAGGGAGAAUUCCCGGUGUAGAGGUGAAAUGCGUAGAGAUGAGGAGGAACAUCGAUUGCGAAGGCGGCCGUCUGAACAAUAACUGACGCUGAGGCGCGAAAGCGUGGGGAGCAAACAG
rnacentral:rRNA from 1 species